AGAGUUUGAUCCUGGCUCAGGAUGAAUGCUGGCGGCGCGCCUAACACAUGCAAGUCGAGCGGUAACAGGGGUAAUUUAUUACCUGCUGACGAGCGGCGGACGGCUGAGUAACGCGUGGGAACAUGCCCCAAAGUGAGGAAUAACUGCCCGAAAGGGUGGCUAAUGCCGCAUAUGAUCUUCGGAUUAAAGGAUUUAUCCGCUUUGGGAGUGGCCCGCGUUCGAUUAGGUAGUUGGUGAGGUAAAGGCUCACCAAGCCUACGAUCGAUAACUGGUCUGAGAGGAUGAUCAGUCAGACUGGAACUGAGAUACGGUCCAGACUCCUACGGGAGGCAGCAGUGAGGAAUCUUCCCACAUGGGCGAAAGCCUGAUGGAGCGACGCCGCGUGCAGGAUGAAGGCCUUCGGGUUGUAAACUGCUUUUAUAAGUGAAGAAUAUGACGGUAACUUAUGAAUAAGCACCGGCUAACUACGUGCCAGCAGCCGCGGUCAUACGUAGGGUGCAAGCAUUAUCCGGAGUGACUGGGCGUAAAGAGUUGCGUAGGUGGUUAGUAAAGCGAAUAGUGAAACCUGUCGGCUCAACCGACAGACUAUUAUUCGAACUCACUAACUCGAGAAUGGUAGAGGUAACUGGAAUUUCUAGUGUAGGAGUGAAAUCCGUAGAUAUUAGAAGGAACACCAAUGGCGUAGGCAG
rnacentral:rRNA from 1 species